rnacentral:lncRNA from 1 species
CAUGAGAUCAAAGUUCAAAAAACUUUCGAGAGAAAAACAAAAGAAAGAAAGUGGGCGCAGGGUUUUCUGAGAGUACCCUAGGGUUUCUACCUAGGGUUCGGGAAGUUAGAAGGUGAGCUAUGAGUGUCGUGAGCCCACCAAACUUUAGGGAGAGCUUCGUCAACCUCUCUACUCUCUUUGCUGAUGAUCCAGAGUAUUUGAGGAAUCAAUAGACAC